CAUGUCCGGGUACUCGGUGUCUCUUCUGUUUUGGCGGUAGCCACCUGCCACACUCCACACAGAUUUACUUCUUUUCACGAACCAAUCACCUUCAAAGACAUGUCCCAAAUUGCCACCUCUGUUACCUUGACUCCGAUGCUCAGCUCUGGCGCCCUCACCUGUCAUGCCCAAAGACACUGAAUGGCAUUGAAGGCUUUCAGUCCACAACAUGUACACGUGACCAAUUGCAUCUCUAUAUCACCUGCUUGAUUGAAGUUCUUGUAGUGAAGAAAAUCUGUCAUGAAGAAAUUAAUAUAGUUGAUAUGGGUUGCUAGACAUUCUUUGACCCUAACAGCAUGCACAGAACAGAAUCUAGAGUAUUAGUGGAACUUUGAAUAAAUGUAGCAGCUAAAGGUGUCUUGAUCAAUGCAAGUUUGAUGUCCC
rnacentral:sRNA from 2 species